rnacentral:tRNA from 1 species
GCCCCUAUAGCUCAGUUGGUAUAGCAUUCGCCUAAACUGCGAAAGGCCCCCAGUUCAAUCCUGGAUGGAGACA